CCCACACCCUGUGACUUGAACCUGGCUCCCCUCGACCUACCCGUGCCCUCACUGUCCCCAUCUGCUGCUUCGGGCCCCUCUUUAUACUUGUCUCUGUCCUGCCGGGCUGUCCAGUGUUAGCACCUUUGCUCCGAAAGACAAUGGGAGCCAAAGGCCACUGUCACCGUGGCACAUGUGCACUGGCCCAGUAGGUCUGCAUCUUUUCAUGGCGGGGGGCAGUGUGUGGCACACGGGGUGGCCCAGGAAGUAGGAAAUCCUCUUCAGCAUCCAGGGCAAAUACGCUCAGAACAGCGUCCGGUCUGUGGUAACUGCGGGGGAGCUGUUAGCUGUCAUCCUUGUCCCCAGCCCAGCUCUCAGGUACUGUGAAAGUGCUGCACUCAAUAUGCCAGCAAAUUUGGAAAACUCAGCAGUAGCCAUAGGACUGGAAAAGGCUUCAACAAAGUACGUGAACCAUGAACUUCCAGAUGUUCAAACUGGAUUUAGAAAAGGCAGAGGAACCAGAGAUCAAAUUGCCAGUAUCCAUUGGAUCGUCACAAAAGUGAGAGAGUUCCAGAAAAACAUCUACUUCUGCUUUAUUGACUAUGCCAAAGCCUUUGACUGUGUGGAUCACAACAAACUGUAGAAAAUUCUUCAAGAGAUGGGAAUACCAGACCACCUGACCUGCCUCCUGAGAAAUCUGUAUGCAGGUCAAGAUGCAACAGUUAGAGCUAUACAUGGAACAACAGACUGGUUCCAAAUAGGAAAAGGAGUACAUCAAGGCUGUAUAUUGUCACCCUGCUUGUUUAACUUAUAUGCAGAGUACAUCAUGAGAAAUGCUGGACUGGAUGAAGCACAAGCUGGAAUCAAGAUUGCCAGGAGAAGUGAGAAAAACUAAAGAGCCUCUUGAUGAAAGUGAAAGAAG
ensembl:lncRNA